rnacentral:tRNA from 1 species
AGCUUUAUAGUCAUAUUUUAUGAUAUUAGACUGCAAUUCUAAAGGAGUAGAGAUCUACUAAGGCUU